AUUGACCGCUGGCGGCAGGCCUAACACAUGCAAGUCGAGCGGAGCGGCGGACGGGUGAGGAAUGCAUAGGAAUCUGCCAGGUCGUGGGGGAUAACGUCCGGAACCGGGCGCUAUUACCGAAUACUAUCAGAAGCGAAUAGGUCGGAUUAGCUAGUUGGUGGGGUAAAGGCCUACCAAGGAGACGAUCCGUAACUGGUCUGAGAGGAUGAUCAGUCACACUGGAACUGAGACACGGUCCAGACUCCUACGGGAGGCAGCAGUGGGGAAUAUUGGACAAUGGGCGAAAGCCUGAUGCAGCCAUGCCGCGUGUGUGAAGAAGGUCUUCGGAUUGUAAAGCACUUUAAGUUGGGAGGCGUUACUAACAGAAUAAGCACCGGCUAACUACGUGCCAGCAGCCGCGGUAAUUC
rnacentral:rRNA from 1 species